UACAGAGGUCUCAAGCGUUGUUCGGAUUCAUUGGGCGUAAAGGGUGCGUAGGCGGCGCGGUAAGUCGGGUGUGAAAUCUCGGAGCUUAACUCCGAAACUGCAUUCGAUACUGCCGUGCUUGAGGACUGGAGAGGAGACUGGAAUUUACGGUGUAGCGGUGAAAUGCGUAGAUAUCGUAAGGAAGACCAGUGGCGAAGGCGGGUCUCUGGCCCGUUACCGACGCUCAGGCGCGACAGCGUGGGGAGCAAACAGG
rnacentral:rRNA from 1 species